UUUCACCCAACGCCAGCCAAAAGCCUCGCCGUCCCCACGCCGCCCCGCCUCGCCCCCGGAGGCGACCCCCGGCGUUCCCCGCAGCGACCGGCGACCGUGCCGCGGGUUCUGAUCGCCCGCCGCCUCCGCCCGGUGCCCGCCCGGCCUCGGGCGCCGCCGCCGCUCCCGCGGACGGCCCGGACCGCACCCCCACCCACUCGGCGCCUUCUGAUCCAGCCGCGUCGCGCGACAGCUCGUCGGGCUAGCCCGAUCCCCCGCGGCCGCCGCGGGACGAGGCGUCUCCGCUCCCCGAGGGGAUUCGGGGAUUUUGAGGCUGGUACGACGGGAUCCUGGUGAUAAUGAGGGGCUACGAAUAUGAGACCAAUGGUUACCAUCGAGCAGUGGAGGAUGAAUAUGAAGAUGAGUAUUAUGAUCAAGAUGAGUACGAGGAAGAUGGUUCAGGUGCUGGGGAUGAGUAUGUUGAGGAGGAAGAACCUCUAGAGGGACAGAAGGAGAUCCUUGAAUUGAGAGAACGGCUUAAGGAGCAGAUAAGAAGAAAGGCAAAGGCUGCUGCGGCCAGCGCAGCUGGCCGUUCUUCUUCAAAUGAUAGAGUUCCUCCAACCAGGGAUAACAAAUUCGGCUCUUUCUUUGGACCAUCUAAGCCGGUGAUUUCUCGACGAGUGAUUGAGGAAAGAAAGUCAUUGAAAGAACUGCAUAGCACAAUCUCAAGAGAUCUAAGGCCUUCUGUAGUACAUAGGGAUAUGCCAUCCUCCUCUAAAGUUCAAAAUAGAGUAAAUGGACAUCAGCAUAAACCAAAGAUAGUUAAUGAGGUAAAGAAGAAGGCUGAAGCACUUAAGGAUAACCGGGAUUAUUCAUUUCUACUCUCAGAUGAUGCUGACCUUUCGUCCUCUCCAAAGGAGAAACCUUCAGCUAGAUCCUCCUUGUCUCAAAAGACUGAUCGUGAGGUGAUGCAUUCAGCUGCAAAGAGCAAGGCAGCAACAAGUCAACCUGCACGGCUGUCAAAUGGAUAUGGAUCUAAGAAUACAUUGUCAACCCAAAGACAUGCUGAAGGUAGGGUAGAUUCCAUUAGAAAGGAGGCUUUCUCAAAUAGAGAAAGGGUGGUUUCACGUGACAGUGAGAGGAUGCAUGGUAUUGUUAGAAAUGGAUCCAACCAGGCAAGUACUAGCAAAACUACAAGCCAAAAGCUUCCAACCAAGGGUUCUAUUGCUAAUAGGCAUCUCUCAAAGGAUUUGAAUGAUCCAGCUCUGAGGAAGGGCAGUGUAGCCUCGAGGCAUGAGAUUGACAGGCCAAAAUCCUCACAAAGUCAGAGGAUGCAGUCAGCUGGUCAGAGACCACAGCUUUCUUCCCAUGGUCAGAGACCACAUCAGUCGGUGCAGCCGAGGCCACAACCGUCAUUGCCGAAUAGAAGACCACAGCAGGUGUCACAGGGUCAGAAGCCACAACAGUCAUUGCAGAGUCAAAGGACGCAGCAGUCAUUGCAGAGUCAAAGACUGCAGCAGUCUUCACAUGUUCAGAAAUUGCAAUCUUCACAAACUCACAGACCGCAGUUGCAAAGUAACAGGUCUCAGUCUAUGCAAGGGCAAAGGCCUCUUUCUUCGCAGGGUCAAUACUCAGAGCAAAGAAGACUUCAGGCAAAUGAUAGAGUAAAACAAGUAGAAAGGCAGAUUCGACCUCCUUCGAAACCCAUGCCAUCUCGGCCUAUCUCUUCCAAUGGAAUACGUGAUGAUCAUGCAAAGAGAAAGCAAGUGGCAAAAAGAAGAUUAGAUGAAGAUGAAGAUGAGGAGAACCCUUUUGCCAUGAUCAGAAAUAUGUUCGGGUAUGAUCCUAGAAAAUAUGUUGGCAGAGAUGAGGAUGAUAGUGACAUGGAAGCAGAUUUUGCUACUAUAGAGAGGGAAGAGAAAAGAAGUGCAAGGAUUGCUAGGCAGGAGGACGAGGAGCAACUCCGCCUGAUUGAGGAGGAAGAGAGACGUGAGCAGGAGAGGAAGAGGCGAAAGAUGGCGGCACGGGGCCGAUAGUAACUGAGAGUAGCUCCUAUACAUUUCACCUUUGGAUAUUUUUCAGAGGCCUUGUUGCCUGAAGGCAAGCCAUGGUCAAUCAGACCUCCACUUGGUGGGCAAUUCUGAUUGUUGCAAACAACAACCUCAAGUGUUGCCGUGAGGAUUCACCGGAGACAAAUCAAGAAAACUGGCAGGUCAGCCGAGCAUUUGCUUUUCGGGCAGCUCACUCUGGAGAUUAGGGGAAUGAGGUAGUAGGCCCUCGUUCGAACAGAGCACGCAGGUGCUGCCUCUGGUGUCUUCUGGUCGGCUGGUCUGGUCGGGAGCCAAUCAGAUGCUUCAAGCUGUUUCCUUUCCGGAACGGCGUGAAACUUGGGAUUGGGACGGAUCGCAAGUACUGCGCCUCCGGGACUCGAAUACGGAGACCUGCAGGCUACAUUGAUGAGCGACGGAAGUGUUGAGAGUUGUUGUUCGUCUCCAAUCAGGUUGGCUGACGGCAGGAAGGAAGCUGCAGAAUAAAAAGCUCAUGGCCCGACAAGGACUCCCGACGUA